UUUUUUUUAAGUUAGCUGUUUAUUUCAUCGUCGAAUGUCUUCAUGUAACAAUCAAGUCGAAUAACGAAAAUAUAACUGCUGUUCCUUGGAUUUACUGAUAAUUUUCUUGCCGUUGUUUGAUAUCCAGUCAAUAGUUUAUAUAAUUUAGAUACAGAAAUUAAAUUUUUAAAACUGUGAUUAAAUUUCAAAUAUUUCCUAUUCAUUCAUGC
rnacentral:lncRNA from 1 species